rnacentral:rRNA from 1 species
UCGGAUUGUAGUCUGCAACCCGACUACAUGAAGCUGGAAUCGCUAGUAAUCGCGAAUCAGAAUGUCGCGGUGAAUACGUUCCCGGGUCUUGUACACACCGCCCGUCACACCAUGGGAGUCGGAAAUGCCCGAAGUCAGUGACCCAACCGUAAGGAGGGAGCUGCCGAAGGUGGAGCCGGUAACUGGGGUGAAGUCGUAACAAGGUAUC